AUUCAUCUGACGAGACCUGAAUAGGGCGAAACACUCGUCCUGGAU
rnacentral:hammerhead_ribozyme from 1 species